UACCCAAUCCUGACACAGGGAGGUAGUGACAAUAAAUAACAAUACCGGGCUUUUUCAAGUCUGGUAAUUGGAAUGAGAACAAUCUAAAUCCCUUAACGAGGAUCCAUUGGGGGGCAAGUCUGGUGCCAGCAGCCGCGGUAAUUCCAGCUCCAAUAGCGUAUAUUUAAGUUGUUGCAGUUAAAAAGCUCGUAGUUGGAUAUUGGUUAAGAGGGCGCGGUCGGCCGUUUGGUCUGUACUGCGUUGUCUUGACUUCCUGAUGAGGACAUGCUCUUGGUUAACGCUGAGACAUGGAGUCAUCGUGGUUACUUUGAAAAAAUUAGAGUGUUCAAAGCGGGCUUACGCUUGAAUAUAUUAGCAUGGAAUAACACCAUAGGACUCCUGUCCUAUCUCGUUGGUCUCGGGAUGGGAGUAAUGAUUAAGAGGAACAGUUGGGGGCAUUCGUAUUUCAUUGUCAGAAGUGAAAUUCUUGGAUUUAUGAAAGACGAACUUCUGCGAAAGCAUUUGCCAAGGAUGUUUUCAUUAAUCAAGAACGAAAGUUGGGGGCUCGAAGAUGAUUAGAUACCAUCCUAGUCUCAACCAUAAACGAUGCCGACUAGGGAUUGGUGGAUGUUAAUUGAUGACUUCACCAGCACCUUAUGAGAAAUCAAAGUUUUUGGGUUCCGGGGGGAGUAUGGUCGCAAGGCUGAAACUUAAAGGAAUUGACGGAAGGGCACCACCAGGCGUGGAGCCUGCGGCUUAAUUUGACUCAACACGGGGAAACUUACCAGGUCCAGACAUAAGUAUGAUUGACAGAUUGAGAGCUCUUUCUUGAUUCUAUGGGUG
rnacentral:rRNA from 1 species